CCUACGGGGGGCAGCAGUGGGGAAUAUUGGACAAUGGGGGCAACCCUGAUCCAGCAAUGCCGCGUGUAUGAAGAAGGUCUUCGGAUUGUAAAGUACUUUCGACAGGGACGAUGAGGACGGUACCUGUAGAAGAAGCCCCGGCUAACUUCGUGCCAGCAGCCGCGGUAAUACGAAGGGGGCUAGCGUUACUCGGAGUGACUGGGCGUAAAGGGCGCGUAGGCGGCUUAUACAGUCAGAUGUGAAAUUCCUGGGCUUAACCUGGGACCUGCAUUUGAUACGUAUAGGCUAGAGUGUGAAAGAGGAUUGUGGAAUUCCAAGUGUAGAGGUGAAAUUCGUAGAUAUUUGGAGGAACACCGGUGGCGAAGGCGGCAAUCUGGUUCACAACUGACGCUGAGGCGCGAAAGCGUGGGGAGCAAACAGGAUUAGAUACCCUCGUAG
rnacentral:rRNA from 1 species